rnacentral:rRNA from 1 species
GUGGGGAAUAUUGGGCAAUGGGGGAAACCCUGACCCAGCGACGCCGCGUGAGGGAAGACGGCCUUCGGGUUGUAAACCUCUUUUGUACGGGAAGAAGGAAGUGACGGUACUGUACGAAUAAGUCCCGGCUAACUACGUGCCAGCAGCCGCGGUAAUACGUAGGGGACGAGCGUUGUCCGGAAUUACUGGGCGUAAAGGGCGCGCAGGCUGUGCUGCAAGUCAGCUGGGAAAUGUCUGGGCUUAACCCGGGCAUGCGGUUGAGACUGCAGUGCUGGAGUGCUGUAGAGGCAAGUGGAAUUCCCAGUGUAGCGGUGAAAUGCGUAGAUAUUGGGAAGAACACCGGUGGCGAAGGCGACUUGCUGGGCAGCAACUGACGCUGAGGCGCGAAAGCCAGGGGAGCAAACGGGAUUAGAAACCCCAGUAGUCC